rnacentral:rRNA from 1 species
ACAGCAGUAGCCGCGGGAAUACGAAGGGGGCUAGCGUUGCUCGGAAUCACUGGGCGUAAAGGGUGCGUAGGCGGGUCUUUAAGUCAGGGGUGAAAUCCUGGAGCUCAACUCCAGAACUGCCUUUGAUACUGAAGAUCUUGAGUUCGGGAGAGGUGAGUGGAACUGCGAGUGUAGAGGUGAAAUUCGUAGAUAUUCGCAAGAACACCAGUGGCGAAGGCGGCUCACUGGCCCGAUACUGACGCUGAGGCACGAAAGCGUGGGGAGCAAACAGGAUUAGAUACCCCAGUAGUCCCUGUCUCUUAUAA